AGGCUUUUAGCUCAGCUGGUCCAGAGUGUCUGUUUUACACGCAGAAGGUCGUAGGUUCGAAUCCUACAAGGUCUA
rnacentral:tRNA from 1 species